rnacentral:rRNA from 1 species
CGGCUCCUACGGGGGGCAGCAGUGGGGAAUAUUGCACAAUGGGGGAAACCCUGAUGCAGCAACGCCGCGUGAGUGAAGAAGUAUUUCGGUAUGUAAAGCUCUAUCAGCAGGGAAGAAGAUGACGGUACCUGAGUAAGAAGCCCCGGCUAACUACGUGCCAGCAGCCGCGGUAAUACGUAGGUGGCAAGCGUUGUCCGGAUUUACUGGGUGUAAAGGGCGUGCAGCCGGAGAGACAAGUCAGAUGUGAAAUCCACGGGCUCAACCCGUGAACUGCAUUUGAAACUGUUUCCCUUGAGUGUCGGAGG